rnacentral:rRNA from 1 species
AUUGAACGCUGGCGGCAUGCUUUACACAUGCAAGUCGAACGGUAACAGGCCGCAAGGUGCUGACGAGUGGCGAACGGGUGAGUAAUGCAUCGGAACGUGCCCAGUCGUGGGGGAUGACUAUCCGAAAGGAUAGCUAAUACCGCAUACGAUCUGCGGAUGAAAGCGGGGGACCUUCGGGCCCCGCGCGAUUGGAGCGGCCGAUGGCAGAUUAGGUAGGUGGUGGGAUAAAGCUUACCAAGCCGACGAUCUGUAGCUGGUCUGAGAGGACGGUCAGCCACACUGGGACUGAGACACGGCCCAGACUCCUACGGGAGGCAGCAGUGGGGAAUUUUGGACAAUGGGCGCAAGCCUGAUCCAGCAAUGCCGCGUGCAGGAUGAAGGCCUUCGGGUUGUAAACUGCUUUUGUACGGAACGAAAAGCCCCGGGUUAAUACCCUGGGGUCAUGACGGUACCGUAAGAAUAAGCACCGGCUAACUACGUGCCAGCAGCCGCCGUAA